GCCAAAAUUAUCGCCUGUUCACCUCAGGGCGGCGCUAUUUCCAGCGCCGGGGGGCCGAACGCUGGAGAUGCUCUAAAGGCCCAGGAUCCCAUCUCCCUCCUCCCACCUCCAUCACCAUCCGCCUCCGGCGGCGCCGCCGCCCACCUUCAUAACCCACCACACAAUAGCCCUCCGCGCCAUGCCCCUGCCCGUUCCCACCUCCCGCCUCCUCGCCGCCAUCUCCGCUGCCGCGUCCUCGACUGCAGACCUCCGCCGCCUCUCCCACCUCCUCCUCACCCCCUACACCCCACUCCCCCCGCUCCGCUGCCUCAAUACCCUCCUCAUGGCCCUCGCCCGCCACCGCAUGCUCCCGGACAUGGAGUCCUUCGCAUCCCGCAUGCCCGCGCGCAACCUUCGCACGUACACCACCCUUAUCAAUGCCUACUGCCUCGCCGGCGACCUCCCUGCUGCCAAGCGGCAUCUUGCCUCCCUACUCCGCGCUGGUCUUGCGCCGGACUCUCAUGCGUAUACCUCAUUUGUUCUCGGAUAUUGUCGGGCCGGGCUGCUUUCGCACGCCUGCCGGGUGUUCGUGCUAAUGCCGCUCCGAGGAUGUGCACGCACUGUGUUCACGUACACUGCGCUGCUCCAUGGGCUGUGUGGCGCCGGUAUGGUGCGUGAGGCUGUGGCAGUGUUUGCUGGGAUGCGGGCAGACGGGUGCGCCCCUGACACACAUGUGUAUGCCACGAUGGUGCAUGGACUGUGUGGGACGGGGCGAACUGGUGAGGCAGAGGUUCUUCUCGCGGAGGCAAUGGCUGAGGGUUUUGAGCCAAAUGUGGUCGUCUACAAUGCCCUGAUUGAUGGCUACUGCAAUGCUGGGGACCUGGAGCUCGCGGUUAAGGUUUAUGAGAGGAUGGAUCUUAAGGGGUGCUCAGCGAACGUGCGAACGUAUACUGAGCUGAUAUGUGGGUUCUGCAAAUCUGGCAAGGUGGACAGAGCCAUGGUGCUGUUCAGCCGGAUGGUUGAGGCUGGUUUGGCUCCAAAUGUGGUGACAUACACGGCCUUAAUUCAGGGGCAGUGCAAUAAUGGGCAGUUGGAAUGUGCUUUUAGGAUGCUCCAAUCGAUGGAGGCCACUGAGCUGGUUCCUAGUGAGUGGACUUGCUCGAUGUUGAUUGAUGCUCUGUGCAAACGUGGAAGGGUUGGGGAAGCUCAGUUGUUUCUUGGGUCUCUUAUACAGAAAGGAUACAGAGUGAAUGAGAUUGUCUACACCAGCUUGAUUGAUGGACUGUGCAAGGCAGGAAAGGUUGAUGCUGCUGACAAGUUAAUGCAGAAAUUGGUUUCACAGGGGUUUGUGCUAGACGCUCACACAUACAGUUCACUAAUUGAUGGAUUAUGCAGGCAAAAGGAGUUGUCACAAGCGAUGUUGGUGUUGGAUGAUAUGAUGGUGAAAGGAGUACAACCCAAUGCUGUCACGUAUACCAUUCUAAUUGACGAGCUUGUUAGGGAGCUAGGAUCUGAAGGUUCAAAGAAGAUACUUAAUAAGAUGAUUGCGGCAGGAAUUAAGCCUGAUGUUUUCACCUACACAAUAUUUGUUCGCUCCUACUGUCAUGAGGGAAGGAUGGAAGAUGCUGAACAUAUGAUGGUUGAAAUGGUUGAUCAGGGCAUUUCCCCUAAUUUAGUGACAUAUAACACUUUGAUUAGUGGGUAUGCAAAUUUAGGACUAGCCAGUCAAGCAUUUUCAGUUUUCAAGCACAUGGUUGCUAGUAGGUGCAAGCCAAAUGAGGAGUCCUACACGGCCCUGCUUAGAUUAUUGGUAAAGAAAAAAUCCUCUAAUAAUAUCCUUGCCAGCUCUGUUGAUAUAUGGAAAAUAGCAGAAAUGGAAUAUCUCCAGGAGCUUCUGGAGGAGGUGGUUAAGCUUCAGUUGCUUUCAGACAUUGAAAUUUACAAUUGUUUUCUUAGGUCUUUAUGCCGAGUUGAUAGAUUGGAGGAAACCAAAAUUUUGCUCGGUGAGAUGCAGAGUGCUAACUUGACCCCUGGUGAGGAUGUAUAUACUUCAAUUAUAGGGUGUUGUUGCAGACUAAAAAUGCCAACAGAAGCUUUGACAUUUCUUGAUUCAAUGAUCAAAAGUGGUUAUUUACCACGUAUAGAAUCGUAUAGGCAUAUUAUUUGUUCUCUUUGUGAGGAGGGAAGUAUUAAGACUGCUAAAAAGGUUUUGGGUGACAUGUUAUUGGAGGAAUACAACUACGAUGAGAUUGUUUGGAAGAUUCUGAUUGAUGGUCUAUUGCGGAAGGGCAAUGCUGCCGAGUGUUUGAUUCUGCUCUCAGUGAUGGAAGAGCAAGAUUAUCGCCCUGGUGAUGCAUUGUAUGCCAAGCUUACAGGGAAGACAAGUCAACACGUGCAACCGGAAGAGAGCGACGGCGCGCGAAACUCACGUAUGACUCAAGAGGCCUCUACGUGGACACAAAGGGGGCCUACCAGCAAUUUUUAAUAAAUUGCGGAAGCCAGGACUUGAACUCAAGACCUUAGCUCCGAUACCAUGUUAAGCUUCAUGCACUAGCCAACGCAACCAAAAGUCCGAACUUAUGGAAAGGGCUAGUGCAAUCCACAUAUACUGUAACAAUAGUCACUUGCUCUUUCAGCGGGCUGUUUCAUCCCUUGGAGGAAGCACACCCUUUCAGAAUACCAUGCAAACUCCACAUAGAAUAGCUCUCAGCCAAUGGCUAGACUUGUAUGUGUCAGGCAUGCAACAGAUUCUCAAUGGUAUUGGGAACUUCUCAACCAACUCGGAGAGGAAUGUGAGCGGUGCAUUCUAUUUUGCAGAUGGCAAGGCAGUUGUCGUCACAGGAAGAAAGAAGGAUCAGGGAUAUCAAUUACCUGCUUGAAGAGAUACAACACCGAAGUUGAAUUGUUUGUUGAGUUGAUUGCUGUAACUUGGUGAAAUUACUAGUUUCUAAUGGUAAAGAGCAUGAAUAUUGACAAUUAUCUAAGUAUGUUCUAGACUGCUCCUCGAAGAAUACUUGAAUGGUAAAUAGGAUAGUCAAAUUCUGGAAGAUUCCAUGGAUGCAACUUAUUGCUAAUGCACCGAGUCAGUUUCUGUAUAUAUGCCGGUUCUUAAUACCGGCAGUAACCUCGAUAGGGUUUCACGCGUAACCAGAAGGCCAAAAGGGAGUCACAUGAGGCAGUUACCCAGGUCCAGUCCAGGUCCUCACGGUGGAGAGUUCCAAGAAUGUUUUGGAAGGCAACUUGAAGACUUUGGUUCCGUUAUUUUAGAAUCACGUGGACGACAGGUGCUGCACACUUCGGUGUAAAGAGGUGUCUGAAAAACUGCGAGGGAGGUGGUUGUUCGGGGCGUCAUAUAUAACCAUAUUCCAGAAUGGUUAGGCAGAUGCUCAGUAUGCUACCAAUACAUUGUAGCGACACCAGCAAUUGUACUUCUGUAGCAUGUAGCGACACCAGCAAUUGUACUUCUGUAGCAUGCCAAAAUAGUAAAUAAGAACAUAACAACUUUGUUCUCUUGGAAACCUACCCUCGAAGCGCUCGCGCUGCUCCCAAGGGUGGCGGCGGGGGCUAUCUGGACCCGCCAGGGCCGGUGCGUGUGGAUGGUGCUCUUCUACUCUGUCUGCCGGGGCUAUCUGGACCUGCUAGGAGGUGAGGAGCUCCAGCUCCACAUUUGAUGGUGGGGGAUGUUUGGGGCGCUAUCAGGUGUGCAGUACUCCGGACGUAGGUCCUGCUCAUUAUCGGUGAUGACAAUACUCCGGGUGUUGUUUCCUUCUUGGAGGCCUCAUUGAGGAGAUUCGGCCCCUCUCCCAUCCUCGAGCUCUACUCUAAAGGGGCCAGUAGUGACAAAUACAGAUUACAGAGGCACGGCAAGCCGUGUGGUAAGGUAGCUAAGCCAAGACCUGGCAGCUGCCUUGUCAGCAUGAUCUCGUAGGCGAUGCGAGAAAAGCUCAAAGUCAGUUACAAUGUUCUGAGCAGUAAAACGAGAAGAGUGAUCUUCAGAGCGGAAGACAGCAGCGUUGCGGGAGUCCCAAAUUCUCCAGAGCACGACUAGGAGCACUUCCGCCCACACCCUGCAUUCAAGCUCUUGCGGGGGCUGAACCAGCCAGAGGUCCUGGAACCUGGCAGUCGUGGAGAGGCCUAAAAGCGCCCAAAUCUGCAUUACUCGUGGACAGGUAAUGAACAAAUGAGUAGUAUCUUCAGAAGGAGCAGCACAUCGCGGACAGUUGGCAGAAUCAGACAUGUGCUUGUAGGUCAGAUUUGCUCUGAGUGUUUAGUCUUCCACGAAACAGCAGCCAGGCGAACAGCUUAAGCUUCUGCGGCGCUCUUGAUCUCCAGAUUAGGUCAGCAUGAUCGUCCUCAAGGUCUUCCUGCAUCAAGAUCUUAUAUGCGGCUUUGGAAGAGUAGUUUUGCCCAUGCAACAGGAACCUUUCGUCCUGGCCACAGCUGUACAUCCUGCAACAACAAGCAAAGAGCAUCUAGCUCACGCGAGGCGGCCGAGGUUAUCCUGUUCGAGAGGUUCUCCUGUAACCCGUCUCGCAUGAUAUGUACCACUGGGACGAAGAAAUUUGUAGAGUGGGAAUAAAGGCACGGAAAGGCAGUGGCUAGAGAGGUUGGCAGUAGCCAGGUAUCAAGCCAGAAGAAGGUCUUCUGACCAUUGUUGGUGAGCACGAAGGUGAUCGGAAGAAGUGUUUGUAGCUGUGUUUGGAUAAUAUUUGUUAGGAACGUAGGGUUUUGGCAGGAUGCCAAGUGGGAGAGGCUGCAAAGGUGUUGCUUGUCUAACCAUUCAAUCCAAGGUAGCUGAGUGGUGUUUUCAUCGGUGAGGUAUUUGUGAGCAAACUUCAUAAGGAGACAGUCAUUCUGAACAGCUAGAUUCUUAAUGCCUAGACCAUCAAAUUUUUUCGGUUUACAAACGUUUUUCCAAGCAAUCAAACAUUUGGAACCCGUGCACGUCUCCUCAGCAGCCCAGAAGAAGGCUCGUCGAAUGGCAUCCAGCGCCUUUAGCGUUUUCUUUGGGAUUUUGAAAACAGACAUGAAGUAUGUAGCGAGAGAGUCUAAGACAGAAGAAAUGAGCACCAGCCUUGCAGCCCGAUUGAGCAAUUUUGCGCACCAGCCCAGGAGGAAAGAUCUGUAGGAGAAAAGGAGGGGCUGGAAGGCCGAGGGGGGAAGCUUAGUGGGGGAUAGAGGUAGGCCGAGAUAGGUUUGGGGGAAGCUAGAGAUCGCACAGCCAAAGAUCUGGGCAAUUGCGGAGGCGUUUGUCUCGUCUACAUUCAUGGGGACAAAAGUAGUUUUGGCAAAGUUUAUGCAAAGACCAGUUGCCAAGGCAAAAUCGUCGAGAAGCUGCUUGAGCUUGCGGGCAGCAGCAGUGGAGGCAUGGGCGAUGAUAACAGUAUCGUCGGCAUACUGUAGAAUGGAGGGCGGAAGAUCAUUGUAUACAGGGUGGUGUAGCUCGUUGGUUUGAUCAGAGGCAGCAGACAGGAUGAGCUGUUGGAGAACAUUGGCAACGAUGAUGAACAGAUACAAAGAGAUGGGAUCGCCUUGCCGGAGGCCGUUUUUGCACUGAAUCCAGCUUCCAGGGACCCCGUUAAGAAUGACAGCAGUUUUACCGGAAGAGAGUAAAUCGUCAA